UUUUCAAAAUGAAAAUGGUUAAAAGGGAAGACUAUAUCUUCGUGACAACUGAUUUCUGGAGUUUGAUUCCAGAAUAUGAGGCACACAACACAUUAUGUGGAACCAGCAUUUAAUGAACUAAUAAACCAGCCUCUUCAAACUGGACCCUUGCAGCCCUGAAAAGGUCAUAAGAACAAGUCAAGAGUGUCCUUUAGAUCGGGUGGCAGAGACCUUUUGUUCUCUCACACAAUGGAAUGAGUUCUAUGACCCUGUCUUCCUACAGCUGCAAUUUUUAAAUGACUGUGGUGUGCAGUAUAUAGCGAACUGUGCAGUCCUUGCUGACCAUGAAUCAGAGAUCAGCCUGUACUUUGUUCUAUCAAGAGACAUUGGCAAUGAGCUCUUUGCAUUCUCUCAUCACUCAUAAUCCAUUUUGGAACUCCAAAGAUCAAACUCCAGCCAGACUAAGCAAAUCUCUGUAUCAUUCUGAAGGAGAAAGCAAUAAUGUCAUAGAGUAAACUAAUUCCAGAUCUUCCGAAAUUUUCCAUCAAAAACAUUUUUAGUGGAAAAUAGCCCCACCCCAAAAAUUCAAAGAGCAGGCUCACAAGAAAUGGAUGCUCCUUCCAUUGUCAUUUCUGAUUCCUGUCCCCUGUCAUUUUCAAGAGAAAAAGUAGCAAGCCAAGAAAAGAUAAUAUAUUAUGUAAAGAAUUCUUCAAGUUUGUGAUUAUUAAUUAAUUAAUUAAGUAAAAUAUUUAUUUUCCUC